rnacentral:rRNA from 1 species
GAAGUGCAGCAAUGCAUGGAGCUGACUGUUACUAAUCGGGUGAGGGCUUGACCAAAA